GAUGAAGAACGGCAGCGAAAUGCGAUACGUAAUGUGAAUUGCAGAAUUCAGUGAAUCAUCGAGUCUUUGAACGCACACUGCGCCCCCUGGUAUUCCGGGGGGCAUGCCUGUCCGAGCGUCAUUGCUGCCCUCAAGCACGGCUUGUGUGUUGGGCCUCCGUCCUCCUCCCGGGGGACGGGCCCGAAAGGCAGCGGCGGCACCGCGUCCGGUCCUCGAGCGUAUGGGGCUUCGUCACCCGCUCUUGUAGGCCCGGCCGGCGCUUGCCGACACAUCAAUCUUUUUUCCAGGUUGACCUCGGAUCAGGUAGGGAUACCCGCUGAACUUAAGCAUAUCAAUAAGCGGAGGA
rnacentral:misc_RNA from 1 species